CCCUUCCUAUCGCCAACCACUCCGAAAGUGUAGUGGGUGCUUUUUAUGUGCCACCAGCACGAGGGCCAGUCAAGCAGUACUGGCAAUGACCAUGCUCAAAUGGUGCUUUUUACGUGCCACCGGUACGGGACCAGUUAGGUGGCACUGUUCAUCUACCACACUUGAAUGGUGUUUUUUACGUGCCACUGGCACAGGUGCCAAUCAAGCGAUGCCGGCAAUGAGCAUGCU